rnacentral:misc_RNA from 1 species
UCCAUAACAUUAUUGAAUCAUUAUAUAUAUGUACACAGGUAUUAUUUUUGUUUUAGUAUAUGUAAGUAAUAUAAUAUAAAGGAGUCGAUAAAAUAAAAUUAAAAAAAAUAUUAACAAAACCAGGAGGAGGAAGUGCAACACAAUCAUUGAUGGACAAUCUUAUGGGUCUUUUGAGAAUCAAAAUAAAGAAAGGAGUUAACCUUGCUGUUCGUGAUGUACGUACAAGUGAUCCUUAUUGUGUUGUUAAGAUGGGUAAAAAACAGAAACUGAAGACACGAGUUAUAAAGAAGGAUAUUAAUCCUGAAUGGAAUGAAGAUUUGACCCUCUCUGUUUCUGAUCCUAGUCUUCCUGUUAAACUGGACAAAUUGUCUCGCUGAAGAGAGUAGAGUUAUUUGGGAUGAUGGUAAAGUUGUUCAAGAUAUGAUUCUAAGGUUGAGAAAUGUUGAAUGUGGUGAAGUUGAACUACAGCUUCAAUGGAUUGAUCUUCCUGGUACUAAGGUUGGGUAGAAAAUUAAUCAGGAUGGUUUUUAUGUUCCUACAACUUAUAAUAAUGGUUUGUGGGAUUUGAAAAUGAUGUUUGAUAUAAUAUAAUAUUAGAUCAAGUUUGAUGAAGCCCUUUUCACUUUGCAUUUGUAUGUGUUAAAAGGUUUGUGGCAUAGUAGAUAUGGGGUUUGAAACUUAUCUUUUUAGUCAUGUAAUUCAAUGGAAUUACUUAUGUUAUAUAUUAUGUAAUAAUGAUGAUACGCUUUUCUACAAA